rnacentral:rRNA from 1 species
AGUCGCACGAGAAAGGGAGCAAUCCUAAGUAAAGUGGCGUACGGGUGAGUAACACGUGGAUCAUCUACCUUUUAGUGGGGAAUACCUCCUGGAAACGGGAGACAAUACCGCAUAAGCUCGUGAGAGGAAAGCCGAAAGGCGCUGAAAGAGGAGUCCGCGGCUGAUUAGCUAGAUGGCGGGGUAACGGCCCACCAUGGCGAAGAUCGGUAGCCGGCCUGAGAGGGCACACGGCCACACUGGCACUGAAACACGGGCCAGACUCCUACGGGAGGCAGCAGUGGGGAAUCUUGCACAAUGGAGGAAACUCUGAUGCAGCGACGCCGCGUGAGCGAUGAAGCCCUUCGGGGUGUAAAGCUCUUUCGACGGGAACGAUAAUGACGGUACCCGAAGAAGAAGCUGCGGCUAACUACGUGCCAGCAGCCGCGGUAAUACGUAGACAGCAAGCGUUGUUCGGAAUUACUGGGCGUAAAGAGUGUGUAGGCGGUGUUCUAAGCCUGUUGUGAAAUCUCCCGGCUCAACUGGGAGGGUGCGGCGGAGACUGGAAUGCUAGAGUAUGGGAGAGGUAAGCGGAAUUCCUGGUGUAGCGGUGAAAUGCGUAGAUAUCAGGAGGAACACCUGUGGUGUAGACAGUUUACUGGACCAUGACUGACGCUGAGACACGAAAG